rnacentral:rRNA from 1 species
UACGAGAGGCCCAAACGUUAUUCGGAAUUACUGGGCUUAAAGAGCUCGUAGGUGGUUUGUCGCGUUGUUCGUGAAAACUCACAGCUCAACUGUGGGCGUGCGGGCGAUACGGGCAGACUAGAGUACUGCAGGGGAGACUGGAAUUCCUGGCGUAGCGGUGGAAUGCGCAGAUAUCAGGAGGAACACCGGUGGCGAAGGCGGGUCUCUGGGCAGUAACUGACGCUGAGGAGCGAAAGCGUGGGGAGCGAACAGG